CGCAAUGGGAUUGAGAUAUGGCCCAUAUUCCUACGGGAAGCAGCAGUGAGGAAUUUUUCACAAUGGGCGAAAGCCUGAUGGAGCAAUACCACGUGAACGAUGAAGGUCUUCUGAUUGUAAAGUUCUCUUAUUAGGAAAAAAGCAGGAUAGAAUGAUCUGCGUGAUUGUACUAAUUGAAUAAGUGACAGCUAACUAUGUGCCAGCAGCUGCGGUAAAACAUAGGUCACGAGCAUUAUCCGGAUUUAUUGGGCGUAAAGGAAGCGUAGGUGGAGGAGUUGAUCCAUUGUCAAAAGCAUCUGCUUAACAGGUGUCCGCGAUGGAUAUCGCUUCUCUAGAAUUAGUUAGGGGGUACUGGAAUUCAAUGUGUAGCGGUGGAAUGCGUAGAUAUAUUGAGGAACACCAGAGGCUAAGGCGAGUACCUGGGACAUAAUUGACACUGAGGCUUGAAAGCGUGGGGAGCAAAUGGGAUUAGAUACCCCAGUAGUCCACGCCGUAAACGAUGGGUAUUAGGUAUUUGGUUUAAAACUGAGUGCUGUAGCUAACGCGUUAAAUACCCCGCCUGGGUAGUAUAUAUGCAAAUAUGAAACUCAAAGAAAUUGACGGGGACCUGAACAAGUGGUGGAGCAUGUUGCUUAAUUCGAUAAUACACGCAAAACCUUACCAAGGCUUGUAAUCUACUGCGAAGCUAUAGAAAUAUAGUGGAGGUUAUCGGUAUGACAGGUGGUGCAUGGCUGUCGUCAGCUCGUGUCUUGAGAUGUUUGGUUAAGUCCCGUAACGAGCGCAACCCUACUCUCUAGUUAAUUAGUUCUAGAGUGACUGAAGCCGAGAUGGGAUUGAGCAAUAACAGGUCCAAGUCAUCAUACCCGUCCGGCGCUGCACGCCAAACACGCUGCAUUGGUCAGCACAUGCCUUCCCUAACCCGGCAGGCGCGGGUAACCCGUUGAACCCCAUUCCAGAUGGGGAUCGGGGAUUCCAAUUAUUCCCCAUGAACGAGGAAUUCCCAGUAAGUGCGGGUCAUAAGCUGCGUGAUAG
rnacentral:rRNA from 1 species